AUGUCAGACAUUCUUGCAGUAGCUCUAGGAGGAGCUGCAGGAGGUUUGGCAUUAGUUGGUGCCAUCACACUCAUUGUAGUGCUAUGCCUACGGCACGGCAGACGGAAUUCAGAUUCUUCAGAGAGUAAUUCGUCCGGUCAAGCUCUUCCAGACAUGCAAGGAGCAAGAUGUAUGACACUGGAGGAACUAAGGUCUGCUACAAAUAACUUCAGCAGCUCGAAUCUCGUCGGACAUGGAAUGUUCGGAGAGGUAUACAACGGUUUGCUCCAGGAUGGCACAAUUAUAGCGGUUAAAAGGCGGCAUUCUCCUCCUAGCCAGGAAUUUCUCCAUGAGGUUAAUUACCUGUCGUCUAUCCGUCGUCAUCCCAACCUUGUAAAUCUCUUGGGGUAUUGCCAGGACAAUGGCAUGCAGAUGCUUGUUUAUCAGUAUGUCCCCAAUGGCAGCAUUUCUGCGCAUUUGCAUGGCAACGGCAAUUCUCCAACUGUGAGGCUAGAAUUCAAGCAGAGACUUGCUAUUGCUCAUGGAACCGCUAAGGGCCUGAGUCACCUGCAUUCCAUGACCCCUCCUGCUGUUCACAUGAACUUCAAAACUGCUAAUGUCCUGGUGGAUGCGGAUUUCUUACCAAAAGUUGCUGAUACUGGCAUCCGAGGCCUACUUGAUCGACUAGGCAAUGCUGGCCCGCCUUCGAUGAUAUUCAAUGAUCCAUUCGUUGAUCCUCGGGGGAAGGAGUCCAUGAUUUUUUCCAUACAAAGUGAUGUAUACAGUUUUGGUGUGUUCCUUGUGGAGUUGAUCAGUGGAAGGACGGCUGCGUCUGAUCAAGGCAUUAUUGAAUGGGUUCGGAACUUUCAAGAAUCAAGUGAAAUCUCUGCAAUAGCAGAUAGGAGAAUGACCAGUGGCUUUACCCCACAAGGCAUGAAGGAAUUGUUGCGCUUGGCAUCGCGGUGCGUGAACCCGACAAGCGAGGAUCGUCCGUCGAUGAGCCUGGUGGAAGCCGAGAUACACCGGAUACGCGAGCAGGAGAUCAGGAGGACGACAGCCAUGCCAGUGGGCGACACAACUGUGACCCUAGGCAGCCAACUCUUCACAUCAUCAAGAUGA
rnacentral:rRNA from 1 species